rnacentral:rRNA from 1 species
UGGGGAAUAUUGCACAAUGGGCGCAAGCCUGGUGCAGCGACGCCGCGUGAGGGAUGACGGCCUUCGGGUUGUAAACCUCUUUCAAUAGGGACGAAGCGCAAGUGACGGUACCUAUAGAAGAAGGACCGGCCAACUACGUGCCAGCAGCCGCGGUAAUACGUAGGGUCCGAGCGUUGUCCGGAAUUACUGGGCGUAAAGAGCUCGUAGGUGGUUUGUCGCGUUGUUCGUGAAAACUCACAGCUUAACUGUGGGCGUGCGGGCGAUACGGGCAGACUAGAGUACUGCAGGGGAGACUGGAAUUCCUGGUGUAGCGGUGGAAUGCGCAGAUAUCAGGAGGAACACCGGUGGCGAAGGCGGGUCUCUGGGCAGUAACUGACGCUGAGGAGCGAAAGCGUGGGGAGCGAACAGGAUUAGAUACCCUGGUAGUCCACGCCGUAAACGGUGGGUACUAGGUGUGGGUUUCCUUCCUUGGGAUCCGUGCCGUAGCUAACGCAUUAAGUACCCCGCCUGGGGAGUACGGCCGCAAGGCUAAAACUCAAAUGAAUUGAC